rnacentral:rRNA from 4 species
CCGCCCGUCACACCAUGGGAGUGGGUUGCAAAAGAAGUAGGUAGCUUAACCUUCGGGAGGGCGCUUACCACUUUGUGAUUCAUGACUGGGGUGAAGUCGUAACAAGGUAACCGUAGGGGAACCUGCGGUUGGAUCACCUCCUUACCUUAAAGAA